UGGGGAAUCUUAGACAAUGGGGGAAACCCUGAUCUAGCCAUGCCGCGUGAGUGAUGAAGGCCCUAGGGUCGUAAAGCUCUUUCGCCAGGGAUGAUAAUGACAGUACCUGGUCAAGAAACCCCGGCUAACUCCGUGCCAGCAGCCGCGGUAAUACGGAGGGGGUUAGCGUUGUUCGGAAUUACUGGGCGUAAAGCGCACGUAGGCGGACUGUUAAGUCAGAGGUGAAAUCCCGGGGCUCAACCCCGGAACUGCCUUUGAUACUGGCAGUCUUGAGUUCGAGAGAGGUGAGUGGAAUUCCGAGUGUAGAGGUGAAAUUCGUAGAUAUUAGGAAGAACACCAGUGGCGAAGGCGGCUUACUGGACCGGCAUUGACGCUGAGGUGCGAAAGCGUGGGGAGCGAACAGGAUUAGAUACCCCCGUAGUCC
rnacentral:rRNA from 1 species